rnacentral:rRNA from 1 species
ACUCCUACGGGAGGCAGCAGUAGGGAAUCUUCCACAAUGGGCGCAAGCCUGAUGGAGCAACACCGCGUGAGUGAAGAAGGGUUUCGGCUCGUAAAGCUCUGUUGUUAAAGAAGAACACGUAUGAGAGUAACUGUUCAUACGUUGACGAUAUUUAACCAGAAAGUCACGGCUAACUACGUGCCAGCAGCCGCGGUAAUACGUAGGUGGCAAGCGUUAUCCGGAUUUAUUGGGCGUAAAGAGAGUGCAGGCGGUUUUCUAAGUCUGAUGUGAAAGCCUUCGGCUUAACCGGAGAAGUGCAUCGGAAACUGGAUAACUUGAGUGCAGAAGAGGGUAGUGGAACUCCAUGUGUAGCGGUGGAAUGCGUAGAUAUAUGGAAGAACACCAGUGGCGAAGGCGGCUACCUGGUCUGCAACUGACGCUGAGACUCGAAAGCAUGGGUAGCGAACAGGAUUAGAUACCCUGGUAGGAUAGCC